UGGACCAGCCUAUUAGAGGGGCACGAAAUCCGGAUAUAUAUAUGUACCUCAGUCGGAGAGGCGCGUAGGGUAUCUCCUGAGGUAUGGACAGAGUUCACGUCACACCGAACCACCUCGUGAUGAUGAACUCCGCUAACGCCAAGGAAUGGCUAUGUUUUUCAAACCAAAAAUAUGUUUUACGAGUAUACAAAAUUUUAACAGCCUUGGCGGGCUCGAGUGUACGCCUCUGAUCAAGGUGUCAUCGAGUAUAUUUGGU
rnacentral:lncRNA from 1 species